GCAAAAUUGAGGCGUGACAGCCUGCCGCGCCUCAGGAGCGCGAUAACUCGGUUCGGCACCGGAUUUCGCC
rnacentral:tRNA from 1 species